rnacentral:rRNA from 1 species
AAUUGGAGGGCAAGUCUGGUGCCAGCAGCCGCGGUAAUUCCAGCUCCAAUAGCGUAUAUUAAAGUUGUUGCAGUUAAAAAGCUCGUAGUUGAAUUUCGGGAUUGACACAUCGGUCGUGCCUUAAGGGGUAUGAACUGGUGUAGUCAAUUUCUCACCUUCUGGAGAACCGCGAUGCCCUUAAUUGGGUGUCACGGGGAACCAGGACCUUUACUUUGAAAAAAUUAGAGUGUUUAAAGCAGGCAUUUUGCUUGAAUACAUUAGCAUGGAAUAAUAAAAUAGGACGGCAUGAUUCUAUUUUGUUGGUUUCUAGGAUCACCGUAAUGAUUAAUAGGGAUAGUUGGGGGCAUUAGUAUUCAAUUGUCGGAGGUGAAAUUCUUGGAUUUAUUGAAGACUAACUACUGCGAAAGCAUUUGCCAAGGAUGUUUUCAUUAAUCAAGAACGAAAGUUAGGGGAUCGAAGACGAUCAGAUACCGUCGUAGUCUUAACCAUAAACUAUGCCGACUAGGAAUCAGACGAUGUUAAUUUUUUAAUGACUCGUUUGGCACCUUACGGGAAACCAAAGUGU